rnacentral:rRNA from 1 species
UACAGAGGGUGGCGAGCGUUAAUUCGGAAUUACUGGGCGUAAAGCGCGCGUAGGCGGCUUUGCAAGUCGGGUGUGAAAGUCCCCAGGCUUAACCUGGGAACUGACAUUCGAGACUGCAUUGCUAGAGUAUGGGAGAGGGAAGUGGAAUUCCCGGUAGUAGUGGUGGAAUGCGUAGAGUAUCGGGAGGAACACCAGUGGGCGAAGGCGGCUUGCCUUGGACCUGUUCUGACACUGAAGGAGCGGAAAGCGUGGGGAG